AUUGAACGCUGGCGGCAUGCUUUACACAUGCAAGUCGAACGGUAACAGGCCUUCUGGUGCUGACGAGUGGCGAACGGGUGAGUAAUACACCUGAACGUGCCCCGAGGUGGGGGAUAACGCAUCGAAAGCUGUGCUCAUAUCGCAUGUGCUCUGAGAGUGAGAGCGGGGGAGCUGGCAGCACUGUUUGGCCUCGCGCCUUUGGAGCGGCGUAUGGCUGAUUAGGUAGUUGGUGGGGUAAAGGCCCACCAAGCCGGCGAUCUGUAGCUGGUCUGAGAGGACGACCAGCCACACUGGAACUGAGACACGGCCCAGACUCCUACGGGAGGCAGCAGUGGGGAAUUUUGGACAAUGGGCGCAAGCCUGAUCCAGCAAUGCCGCGUGCGUGAAGAAGGUCUUCGGGUUGUAAACCGCUUUUGGUCGGAACGAAAAGGAGCAGGCUAAUACCUGGGGGUGAUGACGGUACCGGAAGAAUAAGCACCGGCUAACUACGUG
rnacentral:rRNA from 1 species